rnacentral:rRNA from 1 species
AUUGAACGCUGGCGGCAUGCCUUACACAUGCAAGUCGAACGGUAACAGGUCUUCGGAUGCUGACGAGUGGCGAACGGGUGAGUAAUACAUCGGAACGUGCCUAGUAGUGGGGGAUAACUACUCGAAAGAGUGGCUAAUACCGCAUGAGAUCUACGGAUGAAAGCAGGGGAUCGCAAGACCUUGUGCUACUAGAGCGGCCGAUGGCAGAUUAGGUAGUUGGUGGGAUAAAAGCUUACCAAGCCGACGAUCUGUAGCUGGUCUGAGAGGACGAUCAGCCACACUGGGACUGGGACACGGCCCAGACUCCUACGGGAGGCAGCAGUGGGGAAUUUUGGACAAUGGGCGCAAGCCUGAUUCAGCAAUGCCGCGUGCAGGAUGAAGGCCUUCGGGUUGUAAAGGACUUUUGUCCGGGAGCAAAUGCCUGGUGUUAAUAGCACUGGGAGCUGAGAGUACCGGAAGAAUAAGCACCGGCUAACUACGUGCCAGCCGCCGCAGUAACAC